rnacentral:lncRNA from 1 species
UUCCUGACCCAGCACCCAGGCGAUGUUAUUCUCUCAUUUGCUUUCUACUCACAGGUUGGAUUGUGACAUAUACUUUAGCCCAGCUCACAGUUGUGAUAAUGACACUCAUACCACAAAUCAGUCAGUAGGAGAGAUACUGGCACUUGUAGCUAAACUUAGAGAAACAGGUUAUGUAACUCUCCUUGCUGGGUCCUGCCUACAGGAAGCUUUAUGAUCUAUCUGUGUAUUCAUCAUCCAGGUGUUAUGACUCUCGUCUUUUCACUGGAACCUGCCAAGAAGGGUGAUUGUGACAUAUCACUGGACCCAGCACCUUGGUGAUGUGACUCUCCUCUCCUCCUUGGGCCCUGCUUACAUUGUGUCUGUUGAAAUACGGCUGGUCCAACACCUAGAUUGAUGACAAUCAGAUUCACUUAGAGUGGAAAAAAUAUGUUGGCCCUUAUAAAAUAGUCAUUAGAAGGCCUAUGUGCGUAAUAGAACCUCAUGUGUCUUCUGCUACUAAAGUCUAACAUUACUAAAUUCAACAAGGCUUUAAUGCAUUAUGGCAAAGCACAUUUUCACCAGGUGAGGAAAGCCUUUACUAGUCUACUGACUGAGGAGAGUAAAACCCUUUAUAAUCAAGAACUCAGAGAUUGAAUCUGCCUGCCACCUACACUGAUGCAAGACUUCAAGACCUUGAACAUUGGAUUGAUAAUCUCACAACUUAGAAGGGCCCCUCCAAACUCUUGAAAUUGUAAACCCAUAGGAGAUUUUAAGGUAAAGCUAACCAGGAAAGUUUGUCCUCAAAAGCAGAUGGCCGUCUCCAUGUAGAUAGCUUUUUUCACAAGAUCAAAAAUCAAGACAUCUCGUUAUCAUGACACUCUUAGUUCACAGUUUGUUUAUGGUUCUACAAACCACAGAAAUUUUAAAAAGUGGUCUCUUGUGUGCACUCAUGGGGGUAUACUUAUAUGUAGAGAAUUUUGCAGCCAACAUUAUGUAUGAGGAAACUUAUUCCUUGAAAGGUAAAAGAAGAAGGGCCAAUGUAGGUGAGAAGUUUUAAUGAAACAUUUGUUUUCUCACAAUAUCAAAAACAGAAUAUUGGUCCACUGCUCUUAACCUAUUUCAUAAGUUAAAAAGAACUUAUUCAGAAUAGGUUAAAGAGCAUUGCCAGGAGGCCAUUACUCUUCUGAAUGGGUAUCACUGUUUAGAGUAAAUGAGGCAAUGGUUACAAAUUGAUCCCUCUCAAUAGGGCUCUAUAGCAGAUUAUACCAUAAAAACUAUGCUUACACAAUAGACUUUAAGUUUUC